AUUGAACGCUGGCGGCAGGCUUAACACAUGCAAGUCGAGCGGGGGGAGGUAGCUUGCUACCGGACCUAGCGGCGGACGGGUGAGUAAUGCUUAGGAAUCUGCCUAUUAGUGGGGGACAACAUCUCGAAAGGGAUGCUAAUACCGCAUACGUCCUACGGGAGAAAGCAGGGGAUCACUUGUGACCUUGCGCUAAUAGAUGAGCCUAAGUCGGAUUAGCUAGUUGGUGGGGUAAAGGCCUACCAAGGCGACGAUCUGUAGCGGGUCUGAGAGGAUGAUCCGCCACACUGGGACUGAGACACGGCCCAGACUCCUGCGGGAGGCAGCAGUGGGGAAUAUUGGACAAUGGGGGGAACCCUGAUCCAGCCAUGCCGCGUGUGUGAAGAAAGCCUUAUGGUUGUAAAGCACUUUAAGCGAGGAGGAGGCUCUUUUGGUUAAUACCCAAGAUGAGUGGACGUUACUCGCAGAAUAAGCACCGGCUAACUCUGUGCCAGCAGCCGCAGUAA
rnacentral:rRNA from 1 species